UCCCGUCCUACAACGCCAGCCCCACCUCCUCCUCCUACCCCAGCCCCACCCGCGGUGGUACCGGCGGGGUCACCGCCGGCGAUGCCUCCUACCUGCUCCCCUUCCUCCGCAACCUCUCCACGCUGCCGCCGCUCCGGAUCUCGAACAGCGCCCCGGUCACCCCUCCCCUCUCCUCCCCCACCUCCCGGCCGGCCAAGCUUCAGAAGCCGGAGUCGUGGGACAGCUGCUACACAGUCUACCGCCACCCGCUCUUCGCCGCCUCCGCCCCGGCCAGCCCCACCCGCGGCCGCCACAUGCUGCAGCUGCACCCAGCGCCGAUCCCCGAGUGCGAUGAGUCCGACGCCUCCACCGUCGACUCCGGCCGCUGGGUUAGCUUCCAGACGACCGCGCCGGCUUCGCCGACAUUCAAUCUCAUUAAAGACACUGUCAUGGCUGCUGCGGCCGGGGCGGUGGCCCCGGCGCGGGGUGGGGCGGAGUUUGCGUUUGAGAAUGGGAGGGUGGUGAAGCCGUGGGAGGGGGAGAGG
rnacentral:misc_RNA from 1 species